UACAGAGGUCUCAAGCGUUGUUCGGAUUCAUUGGGCGUAAAGGGUGCGUAGGCGGCGCGGUAAGUCGGGUGUGAAAUCUCGGAGCUUAACUCCGAAACUGCAUUCGAUACUGCCGUGCUUGAGGACUGGAGAGGAGACUGGAAUUCCUGGUGUAGCGGUGAAAUGCGCAGAUAUCAGGAGGAACACCAAUUGCGAAGGCAGCUCGCUGGGACGUUACUGACGCUGAGACGCGAAAGCGUGGGGAGCAGACAGG
rnacentral:rRNA from 1 species